ensembl:lncRNA
CCCCCACCGACACCAUCCUCGUGUGCAGCAAAGAGGGGACGUCCAAGGGCCCCCUUCUUCCUCCCCCACCACCUCCUCCAGCUCCUUCUCCGUUGACCCAGACGACCACCACGGCUCUGCUCCUUCCAGCCGUAGUCCUACCUGGUCACCAAAAGCUGGAGCUGACGUCAGCCACAGUAGUGGCAGAGCCCGGGAAAGUGGGCGGGGUUAUAGAGGCGACCACACCCACAGCCCAGGUGGGCGGGGCCUGCAGCAUCGUCCACGUACUGGAGUGGAAGGAGGGAAUGACUCUUCUGCCCACCACUAACCUCAAAUUCUGUGUUGGCGAUGUGGGAACGCUGAGCGCGCUGAUCACCCCGGCGAUCGCCAGCAGCUCCCCCCAACCUGCCGCCGGGGCUUCUGGGAAGUCUGCCGCUGCAGAGGGAGCAGCAGUGACCACGACAGACGUGUCGGCAGCCCCCGCCGUCCCGGGUUGCGGCCCCCCAGUGGAGGCGGUCGAGGCGGGGGUCCCGGUCGAGGCGGGGGUCCCGGUGGGACCGCGGCAGCAGAACCAGGAACCCCGAGCCCAGCGGACCUACCCAGAGGAGCUGCGCAGGGAGCCAAUCACAGAGAAGUACUGAACACGACACGACACACAACACAACACCAC